UGUAAUCCCAGCACUUUGGGAGGCUGAGGCGGGCGGAUCACCUGAGGUCAGGAGUUCGAGACCAGCCUGGCCAACAUGGUGAA
rnacentral:SRP_RNA from 1 species